UUACUGGGCGUAAGCGUGCGUAGGCGGCUUCUUAAGUCGGAUGUGAAAUCCCUGAGCUUAACUUAGGAAUUGCAUUCGAUACUGGGAAGCUAGAGUAUGGGAGAGGAUGGUAGAAUUCCAGGUGUAGCGGUGAAAUGCGUAGAGAUCUGGAGGAAUACCGAUGGCGAAGGCAGCCAUCUGGCCUAAUACUGACGCUGAGGUACGAAAGCAUGGGGAGCAAACAGGAUUAGAUACCCUGGUAGUCCAUGCCGUAAACGAUGUCUACUAGCCGUUGGGGCCUUUGAGGCUUUAGUGGCGCAGCUAACGCGAUAAGUAGACCGCCUGGGGAGUACGGUCGCAAGACUAAAACUCAAAUGAAUUGACGGGGGCCCGCACAAGCGGUGGAGCAUGUGGUUUAAUUCGAUGCAACGCGAAGAACCUUACCUGGUCUUGACAUAGUAAGAACUUUCCAGAGAUGGAUUGGUGCCUUCGGGAACUUACAUACAGGUGCUGCAUGGCUGUCGUCAGCUCGUGUCGUGAGAUGUUGGGUUAAGUCCCGCAACGAGCGCAACCCUUUUCCUUAUUUGCCAGCGGGUUAAGCCGGGAACUUUAAGGAUACUGCCAGUGACAAACUGGAGGAAGGCGGGGACGACGUCAAGUCAUCAUGGCCCUUACGACCAGGGCUACACACGUGCUACAAUGGUCGGUACAAAGGGUUGCUACCUAGCGAUAGGAUGCUAAUCUCAAAAAGCCGAUCGUAGUCCGGAUUGGAGUC
rnacentral:rRNA from 1 species